rnacentral:rRNA from 1 species
GACGAACGCUGGCGGCGUGCUUAACACAUGCAAGUCGAACGGAAAGGCCCUGCUUUUGUGGGGUGCUCGAGUGGCGAACGGGUGAGUAACACGUGAGUAACCUGCCCUUGACUUUGGGAUAACUUCAGGAAACUGGGGCUAAUACCGGAUAGGAGCUCCUGCUGCAUGGUGGGGGUUGGAAAGUUUCGGCGGUUGGGGAUGGACUCGCGGCUUAUCAGCUUGUUGGUGGGGUAGUGGCUUACCAAGGCUUUGACGGGUAGCCGGCCUGAGAGGGUGACCGGCCACAUUGGGACUGAGAUACGGCCCAGACUCCUACGGGGGGCAGCAGUGGGGAAUAUUGCACAUUGGGCGGAAGCCUGAUGCAGCAACGCCGCGUGCGGGAUGACGGCCUUCGGGUUGUAAACCGCUUUCGCCUGUGACGAAGCGUGAGUGACGGUAAUGGGUAAAGAAGCACCGGCUAACUACGUG